rnacentral:ncRNA from 2 species
UCAAAGACUGUGAAGGGAAGAGUAGGCAAGAGGGAUAGGCUUAAAGAGAGCCGGGACGGGUGAAAGCCGGUGCUAAAGACCUUGCUGAAGAUGGCCCCUGAGUCUGACUGCCGAUAGGUAGGCAGUCACGGGAAAGGACCGUUAAAAUCCUUCAGGUAUCGGAAGAUUUAUGAAACUUAUGGCAUCUAUAGAGUAUAGAGUAAAUGUUCCCGCACCUGGCAAAGGCCUUUAUUAGGCGAAUUUGGGUGGUACCGCGAGAGUCCCUCGCCCCUUUU